GCAUAUCAAUAAGCGGAGGAAAAGAAACCAACAGGGAUUGCCUCAGUAACGGCGAGUGAAGCGGCAACAGCUCAAAUUUGAAAUCUGGUCCUUUCAGGGCCCGAGUUGUAAUUUGUAGAAGAUGCUUCGAGCGUGGCACCGGUCUAAGUUCCUUGGAACAGGACGUCAUAGAGGGUGAGAAUCCCGUAUGCGACUGGCCGCCUUUGUUCAUGUGAAGCUCUUUCGACGAGUCGAGUUGUUUGGGAAUGCAGCUCAAAAUGGGUGGUAUAUUUCAUCUAAAGCUAAAUAUUGGCCAGAGACCGAUAGCGCACAAGUAGAGUGAUCGAAAGAUGAAAAGCACUUUGGAAAGAGAGUUAAACAGUACGUGAAAUUGUUGAAAGGGAAGCGCUUGCAACCAGACUUGCACGUUGCUGAUCAUCUGGGGUUCUCCCUAGUGCACUCGGUAACGUUCAGGCCAGCAUCGGUUUGGGUGGUUGGAUAAAGGCCUUGGGAAUGUAGCUCCUCUCGGGGAGUGUUAUAGCCCUCGGUGCAAUGCAGCCUACCCGGACCGAGGACCGCGCUUCGGCUAGGAUGCUGGCGUAAUGGUUGUAAGCGACCCGUCUUGAAACACGGACCAAGGAGUCUAACAUCUAUGCGAGUGUUUGGGUGUCAAACCCAUACGCGUAAUUAACGUGAACGGAGGUAAGAACCCUUAAGGGUGCAUUAUCGACCGAUCCUGAUGUCUUCGGAUGGAUUUGAGUAAGAGCAUAGCUGUUGGGACCCGAAAGAUGGUGAACUAUGCCUGAAUAGGGUGAAGCCAGAGGAAACUCUGGUGGAGGCUCGCAGCGGUUCUGACGUGCAAAUCGAUCGUCAAAUUUGGGUAUAGGGGCGAAAGACUAAUCGAACCAUCUAGUAGCUGGUUCCUGCGA
rnacentral:rRNA from 1 species